rfam:Danio rerio chromosome 9, GRCz11 reference primary assembly.
UUGUCCUCAUUUUGUAAGUCGCUUUGUAUAAAAGCGUCUGCUAAAUGACUAAAU